GUGAUUGACAAACAUGUUUAACGUGCCACAACAGCACACAUUCGCUUUACAUUAUAGGCAUAAUCAUGGCACAAGUAAGUUGCACAUUUUUCUUUUUGUAUAGUAAACAUGGCUGGCUAGUCUAAGUCAUGAGGUAUAGAAAUAAUAAUGGUAGAUACAUUAAGCUUAGCUGACUGACAGUGUGUUGAAUAAUUAUAAGAUUCAUCAGAUUAUACAAGCUUAGAUCCAGAAUUAUAUGCCCUGAGUAAGGAGAUUUCUUAUGCAUUUUCAAACAGACAAGCUCGCAGUGUUACGGUCACAAUUGUAAGCCUAGAGAGACAUGGUUUAUCAUACGCUUGACAUUAGUGUUAACUGCAUGUUUCCUAAGUCAGUGAAUGUCGUGAGGGAUGACAAGCAUAACAGUGUAGAUAGGAGAAGCAAAACAUAACAAAACCAACCAGAAAAUAAAAGAAAAAGAAGGCUCGUUAGAAAAAGAACAAUAAAACUUAUGAGCUGGAUGCUCGCUGAUUGUGGGUCAGGGUCCUGAUCUGUGUGUUGUUAGUGUCCCGUGAGGUUUUAGUUAGGCAUGGCCCCAGCUCUACGUGUCCUUAGAUAUUGGUGUUGCUAUGCUGCCUAGGACCAGCGCUGGUACGGUGGGGCGCUUGCUUCAGAGUGGGCUGCAGGGCAAAGCUGCUCACCGGGGACGGUAUCACCUCCACUAUUACUGGUGUGUCGAC